rnacentral:ncRNA from 1 species
AAUUUAAUUAAGAGGCAACUCUUAACUGGCCAAUUAAGGAAAAACCGAGAGGUUCAAGCUUAAAGGGCAGAAAGUGAACUAGUAGCGCUAGAUAGUCAUCGGGAAGGCUGGCGGUAGCGCUAAAACGACGAGCCAA